rnacentral:misc_RNA from 1 species
GUGGAAGAGGCGAUCAUGGCGGCGACCCUCCGGAGCUUGAAGAUCAAGACUGGCACCUGCAAGCGCGUGCUCAAGGAGCUCCGCUCCUACGAGAAGGAGGUCGAGAUGGAGGCCUCCAAGACGGCCGACAUGAAGGACAAGGGCGCUGAUCCUUACGACCUCAAGCAACAGGAGAAUGUUCUGGCAGAGUCGAGGAUGAUGAUUCCUGAUUGC